GGCAGCCAGACAGCUUUGCUUGGAUCUCUGGGGCUGCCACAUGGCCAUACGUCUACCGCUCUGAGACGCGGGUGCCCCAAGCCAGCCGGAAAGGGACUUACGGCCGAGAGCAGGAUUUGAACGACUUCUGUUGUAGGGAGGCCCCUCAGAGUAAACAGGGAGAAUUUCUGGGAAAUCUACAUGACGCCAGACUGUCGGGAAAGG
ensembl:misc_RNA